AGAUGUGAUCAUACCAGCACUAAAGCACCGGAUCCCAUCAAAACUCCGUAGUUAAGCGUGCUUGGGAGAGAGUAGUACUAGGAUGGGUGACCUCUUGGGAAGUCCUCGUGUUGCAUUCC
rnacentral:rRNA from 2 species